AAAAAAAAAAAAAAUCCUAAGCCCCUUUAAUAUCAGUGAUAUUUCUUCUAAUUUAUGAAACCUCUUAGUUGGAAUAAAUAAAAAGGAAAUCCCUGUAGUUCCACUCUAGCAUGAAGAAACUAAUUCUAGAAUGGAAAACAAUGAUAUGUAGUAAAUGUAGAUCUUCAAAAUGUAUUUGCUAUUUAUUGUCAGUGGAUCUGAGCCAAGGGUUUAUUAUCUUAACUCAAAACCUCAGUUGGAAUCAAUAAAAGGAAAUCUCUUGAGAUCUUUCUAGCUGAGAGGUAACUAAAUCAUUCCAACAUGAAAAAUAAUGACAUAGAAGAAAUGAAGAGACUUCAGAAUUUUCUAUUUAUUGUCAUUGAUUCUGAGCCUGAGAUUGUGAUAAUGUUGGUUCAAGUCUGAAUAAGGACACAUGUGCAAAAAAUCCCAAAGGUUAGGUUUGUAUCCAGUUCACCCCUCCCAAUCCCAAGUCCCAAGACCCUAGGUUUAUGGAAUUGUAAAUAUUUGCAGUUUAGAUAUAUUGAACUUCCUAUUUCUCAGUCCUCCAUAACUUUUUACAAAAAAGUCCAAACAUCACUUAUCCAUCUACAGUUUAAACCUAAAGGUUAAACAGAAUAAUUUUUUUAUUUUUUUGAUAAACAAAACAAAAAAGAACUUCUAUUACUAAUGAGGGAGAGGAUCCCUCACCUCAACCACUGUGAAAAAAGCAUAUACAAGAUACAUAACUAGCCAAUAGCCACUGUAUACUUCAUACCAAAAAAAAAAAAAAAAUUGUUAGUGACAAAAACCUAUGUAAUGCCAGUGGUUUCUGAAAUAAUCGCCACCAACCCCUACAAAAAGCUUCAAACUACUCAUCCACCUCAUUAUUUGUCGUUCAAUCUUCUUAAUCAAAGCUUCCAUUGGGAGUGAUUUUUCUUCAAAAUUUCGCAAGUUUUUUUUGUUUUUUUUUUUAUGAGUAAAUUUCGCAAGUUUCUUUCUUUCCAUAGUACCCAACAAACUGUCAUAAGCUGUGCCUUUUUUGGAUAAACUACCCAGUUUCCAGGCUGAGAUUAUUCCCUGAAUCUCAGGUGGGCUCAUCCAAUGCAAUUCAAAAAGCCUCACAAAAUGGGUCCACAAAUGAAAGAAGUACCUGCAACAAACCAGCAGAUGUGGACCCAUUUCCUCUGUUUCAGCACAGAGGGUACACACAUUGACUAGAGCCAAACCCCUUUGGUUAAGUCGGUCCAUGUCAAGAUUCUAUCUAAUAUUGCAGACCACAAGAAAAAUAAAAUUUUCAAAGGGACAUGGGCUUUCCAGAUCCACUGCCAAUGAACAGGAUUCACAGCUUCCACCAUCACGAGGUUGUAGUAUGAUUUUUUUAGCGAAGUUAACUUUCAUUAAAAGGAGAAGAAAAAGGGUACAUGAGAUGAUGUACAGCAGCCUGAAGAGGCAGAAGCAGAGAAAAUAACUGUCACUAAACAAAUUUUCUCUAAAAGCCCCCAACUUUGCUAGGCUAUCAGCAACAGUGUUCAACUCCCUAGGAAUCCAAACCAGCUUUACAUUCAUUGAGUCCAAGACAUCUCUGGCUUCAGCCAACAAGUGUGCUAGCCUCCAAGGCCCUCCUUCCUUCUCCCUUAACCAUGCUAUAGUAAGAUCUGGUUGAAUCCUGUUGUCACCCACAUUAGGCUGGCUGGAAUGCAAACUCUAGCCAAGCUGGUCAUCAACUCAAUCAGAUCCCCAACCUCCCAAUCAUUGAGGUGGCACCUAAAGUGGAGACCACACGACCUGGGACCCCACCAGCUCACAAUUCUGUGCAAUGGAGGCUUCCUUUUUUGCAGAAAUUGCAAAGAGAGAAGGAAUGACUGUGUCAAAGGUCUGUCCCCGCACCAGACAUCUUCUCAAAAUAGAAUCCUAUCACCAGCACCAGGAUUUAGCCUAAUGGAUUUCCUAAACCCAUCCCUGAGUUUUAGAAUUCCUUUCCAAGGGCUCCAGCCAAAGGGUUGGGAAGAGUCAAGAGAUUCACAGCCCAUUAUGGCUCUACCAAACUUUUCCACAACUACCUCCCUCCAAAGCUUCCCCUGUUUAUUACCAUACCUCCACCAGCAUUUAGAUAACAGAGCCUUAUUCAUCACCUGAAGGCUCCUUAGACCUGUCCCUCCUCUUGAUUUUGGACCACAUACUUUGUUCCAUUAUACAAAAUGGAAUUUGUGGUCCCCUUCCUUAAAUCCUUCCCAUAAGAAAUCUCUCUUAGCUGUGUCCAAAAUGCUUGGCACCAAUGCAGGUAUCGUAAACAAUGACAUAUAAUAAGUUGGUAGGUUGGAUAUGGAACUUUGCAACAAUCCAAAUUUCAAGGUUUUGUUGAGAAUUUUCAAAUGGCCACUUCUGCCCCACCUGGUUCUGAAGGCUUGUGUCAAGUGUAUGAAAAUAUUUAAGUUCUUGAAAGUAAUAUGUAUUUGAGGUGCAUCAGAGAUGGCCAUUUGGACAGUACCUUACAUAAUAUGUCUUUGAAUCCCAGAUAUGGUCUUUAUUGAUGGUCCUUGGUUUUUGAAAGUUCUUAGUAUAAUGACACUAGUAGGCUCCCCACUAGCUCCCAUGCUAAAAUGCCCGCUUGGAAUACUUCUUCUUUGCCUCAAAAAUGCCUAGAACAAGGCCUUGAGCUGCAUAACAUUGAAAAUCAUCCCCACACAUGUUUUCUGAACCGUGAAACAAGUCAGAGCUUUUUCAUCUACUAGGCAUCUAUUUAUCACAUCAGUAGAGAUACUGCAAUAAACAUUAGCUGUGCUAGUAAUGUUCUUUAGGUUGUUCACAACUUGGAAACUACCACUAGAUUAUUAUAACCAAAAUUAAUUCCAACCACAAAUAAAACAAUUUGGAUGGUUCAACUAGGAACUUACCUAAUUAAAGUACUAGUUUUAGUAGGAAACAAUGAAACAAAAGUCAUCCAUUUCCCACAGGUGAACUAGCAUGCUCAUACUAGUUUUUAGUAAUUUACUUGAUCAGUUUGAAGAGGUUGAACAGGGAGUUUUCCUCUCCGGUAAUGGUUUUCAAAUCAUACGGUGAAGCCCAUUCUUCUAACCAGAUAUCCAUUAAUCCAUGUAAAUGAACUACUAAGUACCCGAAGUGA